UUGGGGCACUAAGAGUAUCCCAAAACUUAGUCUUCUCCCAAAGACUCGAAGGCCUACAUCAUCGAUCCACUCUUUUAGAGCUUUAUUGAGGUGAAAAGAAUCAAUGGAUGGCCAACUCUGAGUGAUGAGAGCAUUGAGGCCUCUCCAGGCUCUUGAGGUGAGAUCGAUGGCUGUGCUGCGAUGGAGUAGCCAGAUCCCAUUGAUUUUACCUU
rnacentral:lncRNA from 1 species